rnacentral:snRNA from 1 species
AUACUUACCUGGAGGGGGAGAUACUAUGAUCAUGAAGGUGGCUUUCCCAGCAUGAGGCUCAUCUAUUGCACUUCAGAUGUGCUGACCCCUGAAAUUUCAGCAAGUGCAGGAAACUCAACUGCAUGGCUGGUGGUAGUGGGAGACUGCAUUUGUGAUUUUCUCU